GCUGUUCUGUGAUGAGGCCCUGGAAUGUGCGCUGGGCACAGCGCCCGAGUCACACACUGAGGAACCGUUCCCUGUUGCCUUCCUUCUGAGAACACU
ensembl:snoRNA